GUUUGGAGUUGGACCCCAACGCACACAAUGAAUCCCUGUUCACUUUUCCUGAAGAUUAUCCUCCGCAUACCAGCACUGCUGAAACUCAAUGCAAGCAAGAAGCAGCUUCUCAUCUGGAUCCAGUGCACUGGAUAUUCCACAUUUUAUUUGAUAUAGCAUCAUUUUCAUAACCUGCUAGCAUUGAGCAACUGCCUGUGUAAGAAGUGCACGCAGGAUGAAACAAGCUGACCAUCAUCUGUAUCGCUCCAUCACUUAAAGGCUUGAAUAUUUGGUCUCAAGUCACCACCACAAUGCAGUUUGUGCUUGAUGGCUUCUUAACACAGAGAUUUGACAUGACCUACGUGGAAGACUUCAAAUUUGAGGAAUGUCAGAAGCCCAUUCUAACUCCCAGAGGCUGUAAGAGUGUGCAGGAGAUUAAGAUUCCUCAUGUAGAUUUAUAGGUGGUGAAGGGACAGGUGUUGCUGGUAUCCAACCGUUUGUACAACAGUGUGGUUCUGAUGGGAAACACUAUGAAGUGCCCCCCAACCUCCAGACGGCCAGCAAAGAGCUGGAGGUUGAGGACAUUUCAGCUGUUUCACGAGACUCUAUUAGGACCAGAUGGCCAGAAGCAGCACUGCCCAGUCAAGUCCUUAAACUGCCUGACUGGUUCUGGGAAUUUAUGGCCCGAGGUGUCCCACCCUACUCUGAUGCGAAUUCACCAUCAAGGCCAUAGACGGCUGCUGCCAGAGUUCUGCCCUGAUGCCUUCUACAACGUGAUGUUUGAGUGUUGGCACCCCAAACCUGACCGAAGGCCCACCUGAGCUUGUCUCCCGCAUCUCUGCUGUUUUCUCCAGCUUCAGCAGUGAGCACUACAUCCUCCUGAACACCACCUAUGUCAACAUUGACAAAAUGACACCCUACCCCUCUCUCAUCCCCUCUCAGAGCCAGCUGGACCGGGACUGCUGCACCUGAGAGAGGACGAGAGAGAUAGGGAGGAAAGCAGAAGGACAUAAAGAGCAAGACAGAGAAAGAAAGAGACUGUUUGAUUACUCUGAAUCUGCUGAGUAAGACUGACAGACACUGGACCGAGUGCCAGGGAACAUUUGCACUUCUCUAUGGAGAAAAAGCUGCCCCAGGUCACUGCUGAAGUCAGUAAAGGGAAGCUGAUUGUCUUUAUCACUGUAGAUAGACUACGGUCUAUUUGAAGCAGGCAGGACGCACGCUGACAGACGUGGACUGACUCUACUGGACUCCUGACUGAACGAGCCAUCAGCUCUUUCACAGCUCACACUGAUAGAAGAGGAAAGCACAGACCAAAACCGUAAAACCCAUCAAAUUCACUCUCACUGUGACUAGUAUUCUUACAUACAUUCUUUUAAAAAAAGGUGCCACAAAGGGUUCUCUGAGCAAUGCCAUAGAAGAACCACUUGGGGUUCCCUAAAGAACCCAAAGAUGUUCCCAUGUUUGAAUAAGAUAUGUGCGGGUAUGAAGUAUCUAUUCAAGGCUUAAAGAACCUUUGCAUAAUAUAAAAGGUUUUGUAUGUAUAUUUUAGGGUUCUUCUGAGGAAAGUCGGCCCUCAUUCAUCAAAUAGGUGUUUGGCCAAUUCUGAUUUCAGUUUUGUUAUUUAUCAAUUAUCUUAAAUUAUUAAUAAAGUGUUUAUUUUUACAUAAAUGGCUGCAUCAAUAAAGCCUGGGAUCAAUAAAGGAAUCUGAAUCUGAAUCUGAAUCUGAAUCUGAAUCUGAAUCUGAAUGUCAUCUUUGGCGUAUCUGAAUGGCCAAACUCAGUUCUGGUAGGAAUGUGUGGGCUAUUGACCAUAAUAGGAAAAAAUGAUUUAUAUGCAGUUAACUAAUCAAAACAGUCUUUGAUUUCAGUAAUAAGAACAAAAACAUAAAAUAACAAUGCUGAAUAAUUAUAAUGCCAUAUAAUCUUUUGUGUGCAUGACAAUCUGUAGUACAAAAGUGCAUGUAUUUAUUUUACAUGCAGAUUGGUAUAAACAAAUGCUGCAACUAUUCAAUGUUCUAUUAAAAAAUACACUGUAAAAAUAAAAAAUUAAAAAAUUACAAAAAACAUGCAGAAGCAUCUCAUACACUGCCAUAAUACAGUGUUUAAUUUUAUUUUGGAAAAUAGUCACACCGCAGUCACAUCAUUCUACCACCUCUACCAAGACCUUUUGUUUAUUUCACAUUUUAUUCUUUCCAGUUGUUGUAAUUUUAACACUAUAAAGUUUGGUCAGACAGGGGACUCACUGCUCCACCACAAACUACGCCUACACAUUACACAUUACAUGUGAAAUUACACUUGAUGAAUCUUUAUCUUGUCUGCACAAGUUCAUUUAUAGAUGUUUAUGUUUAUGCUCUGAUUGCUGAAAACAAUCUGGCAGGUGGGCUCUUAAUAAAUUU
ensembl:lncRNA